rnacentral:rRNA from 1 species
CGGGACGGGUGAGUAAUGUCUGGGAAACUGCCUGAUGGAGGGGGAUAACUGCUGGAAACGGUAGCUAAUACCGCAUAACGUCGCAAGACCAAAGAGGGGGACCUUCGGGCCUCUUGCCAUCGGAUGUGCCCAGAUGGGAUUAGCUAGUAGGUGGGGUAACGGCUCACCUAGGCGACGAUCCCUAGCUGGUCUGAGAGGGUGGCCAGCCACACUGGAACUGAGACACGGUCCAG